UACAGAGGGUGCAAGCGUUGUUCGGAAUUAUUGGGCGUAAAGGGAGUGUAGGCGGCUUGUUAAGUCUUCUGUGAAAUCUACGGGCUCAGCCUGUAACGUGCAGAGGAAACUGGCGAGCUUGAGUGUCGGAGAGGAUAGGGGAAUACCCGGUGUAGAGGUGAAAUUCGUAGAGAUCGGGUGGAACACCAGUGGCGAAGGCGCCUAUCUGGGACAACACUGACGCUGAAGCACGAAAGCGUGGGGAGCAAACAGG
rnacentral:rRNA from 1 species